rnacentral:rRNA from 1 species
GACGAACGUUUGCGGCGUGCUUAACACAUGCAAGUCGAACGGAAAGGCCCUGCUUUUGUGGGGUGCUCGAGUGGCGAACGGGUGAGUAACACGUGAGUAACCUGCCCUUGACUUUGGGAUAACUUCAGGAAACUGGGGCUAAUACCGGAUAGGAGCUCCUGCUGCAUGGUGGGGGUUGGAAAGUUUCGGCGGUUGGGGAUGGACUCGCGGCUUAUCAGCUUGUUGGUGGGGUAGUGGCUUACCAAGGCUUUGACGGGUAGCCGGCCUGAGAGGGUGACCGGCCACAUUGGGACUGAGAUACGGCCCAGACUCCUACGGGAGGCAGCAGUGGGGAAUAUUGCACAAUGGGCGGAAGCCUGAUGCAGCAACGCCGCGUGCGGGAUGACGGCCUUCGGGUUGUAAACCGCUUUCGCCUGUGACGAAGCGUGAGUGACGGUAAUGGGUAAAGAAGCACCGGCUAACUACGUGCCAGCAGCCGCGGUGAUACGUAGGGUGCGAGCGUUGUCCGGAUUUAUUGGGCGUAAAGGGCUCGUAGGUGGUUGAUCGCGUCGGAAGUGUAAUCUUGGGGCUUAACCCUGAGCGUGCCUUCGAUACGGGUUGACUUGAGGAAGGUAGGGGAGAAUGGAAUUCCUGGUGGAGCGGUGGAAUGCGCAGAUAUCAGGAGGAACACCAGUGGCGAAGGCGGUUCUCUGGGCCUUUCCUGACGCUGAGGAGCGAAAGCGUGGGGAGCGAACAGGCUUAGAUACCCUGGUAGUCCACGCUGUAAACGGUGGGUACUAGGUGUGGGGUCCAUUCCACGGGUUCCGUGCCGUAGCUAACGCUUUAAGUACCCCGCCUGGGGAGUACGGCCGCAAGGCUGAAACUCAAAGGAAUUGACGGGGCCCCGCACAAGCGGCGGAGCAUGCGGAUUAAUUCGAUGCAACGCGUAGAACCUUACCUGGGUUUGACAUGGAUCGGGAGUGCUCAGAGAUGGGUGUGCCUCUUUUGGGGUCGGUUCACAGGUGGUGCAUGGCUGUCGUCAGCUCGUGUCGUGAGGUGUUGGGUUAAGUCCCGCAACGAGCGCAACCCUUGUUCACUGUUGCCAGCACGUUAUGGUGGGGACUCAGUGGAGACCGCCGGGGUCAACUCGGAGGAAGGUGGGGAUGACGUCAAGUCAUCAUGCCCCUUAUGUCCAGGGCUUCACGCAUGCUACAAUGGCUGGUACAGAGAGUGGCGAGCCUGUGAGGGUGAGCGAAUCUCGGAAAGCCGGUCUCAGUUCGGAUUGGGGUCUGCAACUCGACCUCAUGAAGUCGGAGUCGCUAGUAAUCGCAGAUCAGCAACGCUGCGGUGAAUACGUUCCCGGG